rnacentral:lncRNA from 1 species
CUGGUGUCUGGGUUUCAACUCUUAGAGCUUCCCAGCUCGUAGCUAUGCUCCUGAAUUCCUCUGGCAGCCCUCCUCAAGGACCUCUGUGAGACAAAGUCAGAAAUGACUUCACUGGAGACCAAGAGAGCCCACAGAGCUCUUCCUGCUGCUUCUUCUACCCUUGUACUCACUCGGCUCUCUAAAUUUGUCUCAGCUCCAGGUAAGGUUGGAUCUUUAAAUUUGUCUCAGCUCCAGGUAAGAUCGGAUCUUUAAAUUUGUCUCAGCUCCAGACACGUGGGAAGAUUACCUUUCUCUGAUGUCUUGGGAUUGAACUGAGCUAUGUGGCUAGUUACAGGCCAAUAGGCUGUUAGCAGAUGUGACAUCUAACACAACUAGGCUGCAGUUUGAAAUAAAUACCAGUGCACAGCCUCCAGAAUUCCUCCCCUGCUAAGGUGACUGAGAAGACCUCAGCUGAGAUGGUGGGAAAAAAAAAUAUUCAAGCAGCUUGGAUAACGAAGUUCCUAAAUGGAAGAACAUUGUCCCAGAGAGUCACUUGAACCCAGAAUAGAUUUACGUGAUCAGACAAUAAACCUCUAUGACACCCUGAGUUUAUUUUGUUUUUUGAUUUUGUUACUGCAGCAUAACUCAACAUACCCUGACUGGUAUAGUCAUGGAGAUUAUCAUCAGGAUCUCCUAUGCUCCUGCAUAUGACACAGCCAGAGUUCUGCAGACAUUUAACUUUGGGCAUCUAAAUAUCAUAAAUGC